rnacentral:rRNA from 1 species
ACACUGUUCAUGUGGGCAGCAGCACAUGAGAAAUCAAAGUCUUUGGGUUCCGGGGGGAGUAUGGUCGCAAGGCUGAAACUUAAAGGAAUUGACGGAAGGGCACCACCAGGAGUGGAGCCUGCGGCUUAAUUUGACUCAACACGGGAAAACUUACCAGGUCCAGACAUAGGAAGGAUUGACA